GUCGAGCGGUAAGGCCCUUCGGGGUACACGAGCGGCGAACGGGUGAGUAACACGUGGGUGAUCUGCCUUGCACUCUGGGAUAAGCCUGGGAAACUGGGUCUAAUACCGGAUAUGACCUUCAACUGCAUGGUUGGGGGUGGAAAGAUUUAUCGGUGCAAGAUGAGCCCGCGGCCUAUCAGCUUGUUGGUGGGGUAAUGGCCUACCAAGGCGACGACGGGUAGCCGGCCUGAGAGGGCGACCGGCCACACUGGGACUGAGACACGGCCCAGACUCCUACGGGAGGCAGCAGUGGGGAAUAUUGCACAAUGGGCGGAAGCCUGAUGCAGCGACGCCGCGUGAGGGAUGACGGCCUUCGGGUUGUAAACCUCUUUCGACUCCGACGAAGCGAAAGUGACGGUAGGAGUAUAAGAAGCACCGGCCAACUACGUGCCAGCAGCCGCGGUAAUACGUAGGGUGCGAGCGUUGUCCGGAAUUACUGGGCGUAAAGAGCUUGUAGGCGGCUUGUCGCGUCGAUCGUGAAAACUCGGGGCUCAACCCCGAGCUUGCGGUCGAUACGGGCAGGCUUGAGUACUUCAGGGGAGACUGGAAUUCCUGGUGUAGCGGUGAAAUGCGCAGAUAUCAGGAGGAACACCGGUGGCGAAGGCGGGUCUCUGGGAAGUAACUGACGCUGAGAAGCGAAAGCGUGGGUAGCGAACAGGAUUAGAUACCCUGGUAGUCCACGCCGUAAACGGUGGGUACUAGGUGUGGGUUUCCUUCCACGGGAUCCGUGCCGUAGCUAACGCAUUAAGUACCCCGCCUGG
rnacentral:rRNA from 1 species